rnacentral:rRNA from 1 species
AACGAACGCUGGCGGCAGGCCUAACUCAUGCAAGUCGAACGCCCCGCAAGGGGAGUGGCGCACGGGUGAGUAACGCGUGGGAAUAUGCCCUUCGGUUCGGAAUAACACAGGGAAACUUGUGCUAAUACCGGAUACGAUCUACGGAUGAAAGAUUUAUCGCCGAGGGAGUAGCCCGCGUAGGAUUAGCUAGUUGGUGAGGUAAUGGCUCACCAAGGCGACGAUCCUUAGCUGGUCUGAGAGGACGAUCAGCCACACUGGGACUGAGACACGGCCCAGACUCCUACGGGAGGCAGCAGUGGGGAAUUUUGGACAAUGGGGGCAACCCUGAUCCAGCAAUGCCGCGUGAGUGAAGAAGGCCUUCGGGUUGUAAAGCUCUUUCGUCCGGGACGAUAAUGACGGUACCGGAAGAAGAAGCCCCGGCUAACUUCGUGCCAGCCGCCGCUGUAA